rnacentral:rRNA from 1 species
AUUGAACGCUGGCGGUAGGCCUAACACAUGCAAGUCGAGCGGCUGCACAGUAAUAGCUUCUUCUUACAGCUGCCGACUGGCGGGCAGUGCCUAAGUACAUCGCAAUCUACUUUGUCGUGGGUCAGGACGCAGGCACUCUUACCGCAUUACCGCUUACGACCUACGGGUGAGAGCAGCGGAUCUUCGGCCCUUGCACGAUUCAAGGAGCCGAUGUCGGAUUAGCUAGUUGGCGGGGUAAAGGCCCACCAAGGCGACGAUCCGUAGCUGGUCUGAGAGGAUGAUCAGCCACACUGGAACUGAGACACGGUCCAGACUCCUACGGGAGGCAGCAGUGGGGAAUAUUGGACAAUGGGCGCAAGCCUGAUCCAGCCAUGCCGCGUGUGUGAAGAAGGUCUUCGGAUUGUAAAGCACUUUUAUUGGGGAGGAAAAGCAGUAAGUUAAUACCUUGCUGUUUUGACGGUACCAACAGAAUAAGCACCGGCUAACUUCGUG